rnacentral:rRNA from 1 species
UAAUACGUAGGUGGCGAGCGUUGUUCGGAAUUAUUGGGCGUAAAGGGUCCGCAGGUGGUUUACUAAGUCUGACGUGAAAUCUCACGGCUCAACCGUGAAACGGCGUUGGAAACUGGUAGACUAGAGUGUUGUAGAGGUGAUUGGAAUUCUAGGUGUAGCGGUGGAAUGCGUAGAUAUCUAGAGGAACAUCGAGAGCGAAGGCAGAUCACUGGGCAACAACUGACACUCAGGGACGAAAGCAUGGGGAGCAAACAGG